UGUGCGUCCUACUGUGUUAUUCGACCAGUGAAAUGCAUUGAUCCAACUGGAGACACUCUCCACUGCUCAGCCCCGAGCAUGACAGAGCAGCAUUAGCUCAGACUGAGAAGGAGCACGGGUGCUCUUGAACAAUGAUGUACCAGCCUGCAGGAGAUCUGUCCAGGGAAGUAGUGCUGAAAUUCAGUCCCUGCUUCCCGAGCCAUCCUUUUCAAGCUGCUCUAAACACAGAUACACGGACACAUGGACACACAAACAGGUUACUACAGGCCAGUGCACAGCUGCUGUCACCUGAGCUGCAACAGAUUCGUUUAAUGGACAGAGAGACAGGAUGGUGCUUUAUGCCCUGGUCCUGUAUCCGUGUGUGUCGGUCUCCUGCCCGUGCCCUGAAGGACAAUUCGGGAGUCUCCAAAUUACAACAAAGGGAACAGAUUAUGGAGAGAAGGAAACCCAGGGACUGUCAACCGCGAGCUCCACGAUCCCAGCCCGAUCCCCUGCCCCACAGCCCGGCCCCGCCGCUUCCGACGUGCAGAGAGCCGAGCGCCGCCCCGCACCCCCCGCGCUCGCCUCCCCUCCGUUCCCUGCCAGGACUCGGCGAGAGCCCGAGCGGCAGCGGCGCAGGGCUCAGCCCCGGGGCGGAGCUGGCGGCGGCCCAGAGGAGGCGGCACGGCCGCAGCAGAGCCGGGGCUCAGGGGCACAGCGAGGCUCGGCCGGCGGAGCGGCGGCAUGCGGCGGUGUCGGGGCGCGGGGCUGGCGGCGCUGGCCGCGCUGCUGCUCGUGACUGUGGCCAGAGCCCAGGUACAGCAGAAGACAUUCCUGGAGACCACCGAGGGCACCAGCAUAAACAUCACCUGCUCACAUCCCCAGAUCCAGAUCAGUGAUAGGAUCCAGUGGUACCGUCUACUCCCAGGACGAGCACCCGAAUUCCUGGCACUCACUAUAAAGGAGUCCAAAGAGCUGCCGGCCAUUGCAGGACGGCUGUCGGUGUCAGCAGACCGGCGUUCGAGCGCGCUGUGGCUCGCUGGGCCCCGGCGCGGGGACGCGGCCGUGUAUUACUGCGCGCUGGGGGCCACGGCCAGAGCAGCCGGGGCUGCGGCCGGGCACGAACCGCCGCGGGCGGGGCCAGCAGGGGGCGCUGCCGCUCCGCCCGCCGCCCUCCCGGGCCGCCGCUCCGCAGCUCCUUCCUCUGCCCCGAGCCCGCAGCACCGACAGCGCCAAUGACAGAGAAAAGGCCGGCACACUCCGGGCCUGAUUGCCCUGACUUCAACUGCUAUUGCUUCUCCUCACUUCCAUCACAUCCCUGAGCCUUCCUGGUGUCUUUCUGGGAAUAAAGCAGCACCCAGAGUAGGAGAAGUAGUAAUUAAAGAACUCAAACUGCACAUAGACGAGUUCGCUGUACCACAAACACACUCUGGAGCUUGCACACACCCAAAGAGUAACUCAUAGUUCUGCAUUCAUGAAGAGGUGUGUGCACAAACAUUUUCGAAGAACACCCACACACAGACAUCUCCUUCUGCCAUGUCCCCACUGAUGUGCAAACACGCACGCUCGCUCCUAUUCCUGCUCCUGCACCCAAGUCUGUGCAUGCACAUCUACGUGAACACUCCUGUCCAGAGAUGUGUACACAUAACUCACAUCCCAACACCGAUCUAUUCCCACACACUCACGUAUACAUUUUCCCUCCUUCCCUCCUCAGCUCACACUGAUGCUCAGAGGUUUUUGCCUUCCUGUGUGUCAGCUUUGAGCUGCUGGUUCUUACCUGCCCCAUUAAAAUUGACUUCAA